GGAGACGUGUGCCGAAUUGGUUGAAGGCAAGGGACUGUAAAUCCCCCACAUAAGAAACGCUGUAGGUUCGAAUCCUACCGGCUCCACCA
rnacentral:tRNA from 1 species